UUUCUCAUGAACAUUUAGCUCCAUUCAUCCAUCAUGCCUGGUUAUACUCCAAGCGCAUACGACGCGCCGAUAAAAUUCGGUUUUCGCCUGGCCCUGCCGCGGCCCUAGUUCGGAGCCUAGGGAAGAUCCAGUGACUCGGAAGAGGACGCGACAGGGACGGAGAUCUUUGCGUUCCAGGCCACGUCAUGCGCGAGAAAGCGUCGAGCCGCAGCCGCCCCCCGCCAAAGAUUUUAUAGUUGGGCACAGGUGGGCCCCGGCAUUAUCCGCCCACGUGGUGGGCUAGGCAUCUCCUCCUCCUCCGCCUCCGUGGUUUCCGUUUCAGUUUGGCCUCUGGCAAAGGGAAUGGCAAACAGGCACUUCAUCAGCAUUCAAGCAGCGUGGAUGCCGACCCCGUCGGAGACGGAGAGGAAAGGGGACGCGGGACCACGCUCGUGGUCGUGGCCAGGCAUCCCACAUGGCUCGUGGCGUCGCAGACUUGGCCGCGGGGAGCAGACAAAUAAAGCGGCCGCGCGCGGUUACUCCGUUGGCUGUCCUGAAGCGACGGCAGUCUAAUUGCGAGCAUCAAUUGUGGUUGGCCUAGUUCAGGCGUCAUUUCGCCCCGUCUUGCCUUAACGCGUACUCUGUCCUUCAGCUUGAGGCUAACGGAUGUUUCUAGUGGUUUCAGAGAACGAUUUUUUUUUUGUUAGGAGGAGGAGGUCAGGAGGCUGUGUUUUCAGGAAGGCAGGCAGUGUACGGAGUUAGGCCUCCAAACAAAGCAAGAUAUCUGACUGUUCAGGAGGUAGCACAGUCCCACUUUGAUGUUGGCAGGCAAUGUCAGGUAUAGAGGGAGAGGGAGAGGGAGAGGGAGAGAGAGAGCAGAGCAGAAACAUUAAGCAUGAAACCAAAAGGCAGGGCUUUCAGAGCGCUGGCAUACCAGUAUACCACUAAUGAACAACAAAUCUAGGCUACCAGAGACAACAGGUCCUCAGCAGGUAAGGCUGCGCGGCGGCUACGGCGCCGGCCGGCCAUACACCAAAAGCCAACGCUAUCAUUUGUACGUCCAAAACCAACACGGCGACGACUAGCGGUGCCGGAAGAAACCACCGUACCAUUACCGACCUUCCGGCCUGCCGGUUUCUCUUUCAGACGAGAAAAAAAGGAAAGGAAACCACUUUGCAGGAAAUUCGUGACGGGCGGGUGCAGUGGAGCUUUGGAUUGGACGGGGCCGGUAAGGUAGCAAGCUUGCAGGCUAGCUAAACUAAAAGAGGACGGCGGGCGGCCUUCAGUUCAGCUAGCUGUUCUCGGGGGCGGGCCGGCCAAUGGCGUGGACGGCACAGCACGAGGAUAUAUAUGCUCCUCCUCCUACGCACUUG
rnacentral:lncRNA from 1 species